CAAUAGCGUAUAUUUAAGUUGCUGCAGUUAAAAAGCUCGUAGUUGGAUUUCGGGUGGGAAUGGCCGGUCCGCCGUUUCGGUGUGCACUUGCUACGCCCACCUUGCUGCCGGGGACGUGCUCUUGAGUUCACGCUCGGGACACGGAGUCGGCGAGGUUACUUUGAAAAAAUUAGAGUGUUCAAAGCGGGCUUACGCUUGAAUAUUUCAGCAUGGAAUAACACUAUAGGACUCCUGUCCUAUUUCGUUGGUCUCGGGACGGGAGUAAUGAUUAAGAGGAACAGUUGGGGGCAUUCGUAUUUCAUUGUCAGAGGUGAAAUUCUUGGAUUUAUGAAAGACGAACUUCUGCGAAAGCAUUUGCCAAGGAUGUUUUCAUUAA
rnacentral:rRNA from 1 species